rnacentral:antisense_RNA from 1 species
UGUGGGAGCUGGCUUGCCAGCGAUGGCAUCGGCACAUCAAACAUUGCUGUCGACUGACCCACCGCUAUCGCUGGCAAGCCAGCUCCCACA